rnacentral:rRNA from 1 species
AUGGAGAGAUCAUCGUCCCCUUCAAAGGUUCUCCUCGUCUUCCUCCUCCAGUUCCUCCUGCUCUCUGAACCUCUGGAAGCAAGGAUACUAGGUGAUGCAUACGACUACAAGCGACUGCUCGCGUCGGGUGUCGAUGGAGAUGCCGCACUGCUGCCCGCAUCACACCUGAACCUCGCAGAUGUUGCAGGGAACAGGCCUCCCAAGUAUACGCCACCGUCGCCGAAGCCGCGGCCAUCGCCGCGUCCGAUGCUCGGUUGGCGACCGCCGCACCGGUGCGACGGAGAUUGCGCGCAGGAGCAGCAGAGGGCUCCGCCGGCGUCGUCCUCCACUGAACCUGCACCACCGAGUGAUUACAGUCGCCAGCAGGCUGAAGCUGCAGGGCACCCACCGAUGAUGGAUGUAUCUCGCGCGUUUCUCCAAGCGAUCAUGGGAUAUGUGACGAAAAUGUAA